rnacentral:lncRNA from 10 species
UUCUGGAUGCAAUCAGCAAAAUCCAGACUAUGGGGAAAAUCUACAAACAACCUGGUUUCUUCAACAAGCUACAUGGUGGAGCUGAGGUGAGGAACUCAGACCUGAGCCAGAUCCAGCAGUGUUGAGAGUUAAUCCCUCAUAUGCAGAAAACAAAAAUGGAAUAUUUAUGCGCAACUCAAAAGAAACACUACGCAUAUAAGGUAAGAGAUUAAAUAUAAACACGGCAAGUUCCAUCCCAUUCCUAUUUCUCCAAGGCUGCAUGACCAAAUGGAAUCUUGAAGAGAACACCUAGAUAACAGAGGACCUGUCAGCGACUCUGGACUUCUGGGUGCAGCACUGUUUUAAAAGUCAAAAAAAGAAGGGUGGGGGGAUGACAACCUAAGGAGCCGUUGGUAGGGAAUUAAUUAAAUACAUCACAAUAUACCCAAAAUGUUAAAUAGCCUGUAUCCUUGAAAAGCGGUCAACCUACAGAUGCAGGUAUAGAAAGAAUUCUAAAACUUUUUUUUUUUUUUUGAGACGGAGUUUCGCUCCUGUUGCCCAGGCUGGAGUGCAAUGGCGCAAUCUCGGCUCACCGUAACCUCCACCUCCCGGGUUCACGCGAUUCUCCUGCCUCAGCCUCCCGAGUAGCUGGGAUUACAGGCGUCUGCCACCACGCCCAGCUAAUUUUCGUAUUUUUAAUAGAGACAGGCUCUUGCCAUGUUGGCCAGGCUGGUCUUGAACUCCUGACCUCGGGUGAUCCACCCACCUUGGCCUCCCAAAGUGCUGGGAUUACACACGUGUGCCACUGUGCCCGGCCUCUGAAACAUUUUUAAAUGAAAAACCGUUGUCACAGAGUUUGGUGUGAGUGUCCACUUUUAGAGGGGUGAAGCUGUUGCCUGCCUUCUCUCACUCCUUCCCUCAAAACAAACGCACAACUCAGAAAUAAGUUGUAAAAAAAAUUUUGUUAUUUAUAAAUCAAUUACACAAUAAAAUAAUUAUUUUUAAAAGUCACAAAUACAAUCGUUGUAUAAAGUCAUUUUGG